UACGGAGGGUGCAAGCGUUACUCGGAAUUACUGGGCGUAAAGCGUGCGUAGGCGGUUCGUUAAGUCUGCUGUGAAAGCCCCGGGCUCAACCUGGGAAUGGCAGUGGAUACUGGCGAGCUAGAGUGUGAUAGAGGAUGGUGGAAUUCCCGGUGUAGCGGUGAAAUGCGUAGAGAUCGGGAGGAACAUCAGUGGCGAAGGCGGCCAUCUGGAUCAACACUGACGCUGAGGCACGAAAGCGUGGGGAGCAAACAGG
rnacentral:rRNA from 1 species